rnacentral:rRNA from 1 species
UUUUAUGGAGAGUUUGAUCCUGGCUCAGAGUGAACGCUGGCGGCGUGCCUAAUACAUGCAAGUCGAACGAUGAAGCUUCUAGCUUGCUAGAGUGCUGAUUAGUGGCGCACGGGUGAGUAACGCAUAGGUCAUGUGCCUCUUAGUUUGGGAUAGCCAUUGGAAACGAUGAUUAAUACCAGAUACUCCCUACGGGGGAAAGAUUUAUCGCUAAGAGAUCAGCCUAUGUCCUAUCAGCUUGUUGGUAAGGUAAUGGCUUACCAAGGCUAUGACGGGUAUCCGGCCUGAGAGGGUGAACGGACACACUGGAACUGAGACACGGUCCAGACUCCUACGGGAGGCAGCAGUAGGGAAUAUUGCUCAAUGGGGGAAACCCUGAAGCAGCAACGCCGCGUGGAGGAUGAAGGUUUUAGGAUUGUAAACUCCUUUUGUUAGAGAAGAUAAUGACGGUAUCUAACGAAUAAGCACCGGCUAACUCCGUGCCAGCAGCCGCGGUAAUACGGAGGGUGCAAGCGUUACUCGGAAUCACUGGGCGUAAAGAGCGCGUAGGCGGGAUAGUCAGUCAGGUGUGAAAUCCUAUGGCUUAACCAUAGAACUGCAUUUGAAACUACUAUUCUAGAGUGUGGGAGAGGUAGGUGGAAUUCUUGGUGUAGGGGUAAAAUCCGUAGAGAUCAAGAGGAAUACUCAUUGCGAAGGCGACCUGCUGGAACAUUACUGACGCUGAUUGCGCGAAAGCGUGGGGAGCAAACAGGAUUAGAUACCCUGGUAGUCCACGCCCUAAACGAUGGAUGCUAGUUGUUGGAGGGCUUAGUCUCUCCAGUAAUGCAGCUAACGCAUUAAGCAUCCCGCCUGGGGAGUACGGUCGCAAGAUUAAAACUCAAAGGAAUAGACGGGGACCCGCACAAGCGGUGGAGCAUGUGGUUUAAUUCGAAGAUACACGAAGAACCUUACCUAGGCUUGACAUUGAGAGAAUCCUCUAGAAAUAGUGGAGUGUCUGGCUUGCUAGACCUUGAAAACAGGUGCUGCACGGCUGUCGUCAGCUCGUGUCGUGAGAUGUUGGGUUAAGUCCCGCAACGAGCGCAACCCCCUUUCUUAGUUGCUAACAGGUCAUGCUGAGAACUCUAAGGAUACUGCCUCCGUAAGGAGGAGGAAGGUGGGGACGACGUCAAGUCAUCAUGGCCCUUACGCCUAGGGCUACACACGUGCUACAAUGGGGUGCACAAAGAGAAGCAAUACUGCGAAGUGGAGCCAAUCUUCAAAACGCCUCUCAGUUCGGAUUGUAGGCUGCAACUCGCCUGCAUGAAGCUGGAAUCGCUAGUAAUCGCAAAUCAGCCAUGUUGCGGUGAAUACGUUCCCGGGUCUUGUACUCACCGCCCGUCACACCAUGGGAGUUGUGUUUGCCUUAAGUCAGGAUGCUAAAUUGGCUACUGCCCACGGCACACACAGCGACUGGGGUGAAGUCGUAACAAGGUAACCGUAGGUGAACCUGCGGUUGGAUCACCUCCUUUCUA